GGGCCCGUAGCUCAGUUGGUUAGAGCAAUCGACUCAUAAUCGAUUGGCCGGGGGUUCAAGUCCCUCCGGGCCCACCA
rnacentral:tRNA from 1 species